AACAUCAUUCAUCUUCCGGCAUGAAACAAAUGUCACUUGAAUGGUUCCUGCAUCCUGGGUGGUUGUUGGCAAGACCUGCCCCCAUUUUUGAGGACCUGCAAAUCAAGUGGAAAGGCUUCUCACCAGAGAGCAGGACAGGGGAAAGGAGAGUGCAGCGUAUAUGCAGCUACCCCACACAGAGCUGUGUUUGGCUUUGCCAGUCCUACCACUCAGUGUGCCAACUAGCUUGGCUGACUUCAUCAUCACAAUGCAAGUGGGCACAUUCAACCGCCAGCUGGCAGUCGCGGGCCUCAGAUAAGAGAAUGGUACAGACAUGGCACACGUUCAAAAAGUUUUCACUUCCCUCCCCAAACCCCCUACACUGCAAACAAGGAUGGCAUGUUCCUAACGAAAUUGGAGCCUUUGUUUCAGAGAACUCCCCUCCACUCUCAGGAAUAGUAUCGUCAAAGACCACUCGUUCCCAUUCGUGGGGAAAACGCUAUUCAAGGGGAUGCUAUGCUACCCCAGCAGCUAUCUAAUUUCCAGAGAAUCCUUUAUUUGUAGGGCAUUUGCACAGUCUUUUGUCUUUUUUUUUGAUGCAGAUGGCACUGCCGCUUUUUCUUAGUAUUCAACCUAAAAAUGACUGAAUGCCGUCUAUGAUGAAACGAAAUAAGGCACAGACGACCCAUGUUUUUGGAUUUGCUUCCUGGAAGUUGGCCAUAUUUUCAACAUGCGUUAUAUGGGGACUGGAAUCUGAGCCAUUGAGAGACUUAUUUUCAGCUACUGGAGACAUGCAGCGAUGGAUGAAGAGUGGAGGAUAAUAACGGGCAUCACGUAUGUGUCUGUUUUUCAAGGAUAAGAGGACAAGACAUGGCUACCAUAAGAAUUUAUUGUUAUGGUUAUGGCUAAAACAUGAUUAGACAGUAGAGUAUCUAGUAUCUAGCGGAAGCUGGCAUUCUCCUGCAAUGGCCUGCUGCCAGCACACCAUUCAGCAACGACCACCUGAAAAGAUCUCGCCACUGAUGGGCAGGACGGCCGCAAGCAGGCGCCAACUCCCAUCUUGGCAAAGGACUGCAUCUGAGGAAAAGAGAAAGAGGGGACCCCCCACAGAUCUGUGAGAGAGGCUGAGAUGGUAACACAAACCGUGGGGAGUACCCAAGCAUGUGUCAGGUUGGCAUCAAUGUGAGAAUGUCUUGGCAACCGCUCUGUUCUCUCCCCUCCCACCCCAGCUCACACACAAACACACUGUUGCCCUGCUUGGAACACAUGGUACAUCAGCAGUGGCAUCUGGCCGUGCUGACUCCUGGCAGCUGCGCUUCAUCUUCGCCAGUUGGGAGUCUUGGCACUGCCACUUCAUCAACUACCUGUGGCUCCUCCCGGGUAAAAAGGCGAGCAAUGAAUUAUUCCGGAGCUGCAGCUGCAAACUUGAUUUUCAUCCAAGAGAUUCACUGUAAACAUAUGACUGCCUCACAGAGCACAUGCCACCCACAUACUAAUGCAUGGUUGACAACAUGGCUUGUAUUCUGCACAAAGGGACUUUUGUGUCUUCAUGUGAUGGCAUGGUUCAUUUGAGGCAAAGAUGACGGAUGCUUUGUGAUGAUUCUCUACGUGUUGUAUCUACGUCAAACACAAGUGCUUUCAAAGAGGCCCAAGGAGAAACAACUGGUUCUCUUGGUUUACAAAAAGUGAUUUGUUUUUUUACAGCCUCAAAUCAACAAAAGUACAGUGAGCAAAAGACAAACAUUAGUGGCAGUACCAUAACAUUCAGAAAGGCAAUGCAUUUUGGGCUCAGUGGUCUUCAUCAGGCAGCAUUGGCCAAUUUCUUUGUGUUGGGAAAUGAUGUUGAAAGAUCAAAUCAAAUGGCAGCCUAGGAUUACAUUGAAAGGAAUUUCUCUCCCAUUUUUACAAUGAACAAAUGGAUGGGUGACCUUUAAACUCAACAAUUAUUUCCUCACAUUCAAUUCUUAAUGGAGGUUUUGACAACCAAGGACAUUUGCCUGACGCGCUCUGAAUACAUUUUAGCUGUGACACCAUGGAUUGCUUGAGUAGGACAGCUUAUUUCUGAAGAUUACCUCCCCUCAUGACCGUGAAUUUCCAAUGGCGUCAAUGUGAGAUGUGCUCGCAAAGAUUUAAUUUGUUACAUCUUGUUUUGGAAAGUCUAAGAUGAUAGACAAUAUAAUGUAGUGUUGCUUUGUUUAAUGCUUGAUUAUUUCAGUGGAACUAUCUUUUUUUUUUUAAACUUUUGUCAUGGAAUACACCAUAUACUGGUCUGGAUGAUUCCAUUUCAUCACUGAGGUGCAUGUAAUGCCAACUCCUCUCCAUCUGUCCAGAGGUGUGUUUGGGUUCUCCUGCACUCUCAUUGAUUUUUCUUGUGGAGAAGCCCUCACCUAGAGAACUUUCAAUUUAUCCCAAAUGUCAGCUGUUAUGUUAUCCAAGUUUGAUAGCAGCAAACUUACAGUGUGUUUAUUGUGAUCACAGUUACAGUAGUAAGUGACAACAUGAGCAGUGACUGAAGUUAUUGAUCAUAUAGUUAUGGCUCUUUUUAUACAUGAAGUAAAGUCAAGGGAAGCAGUAGAGAGGAAGAGAAGUUAAAAAAACAGAAAGCUAAGUUUAUCGUAAGAAAUUCUUGACUUGAUUUAUUUAGAGUUCGUGGUUUGCUCUCGGCUACUCGAGCACUGCAUGACCCAAUUUAAAUUCAAAACUUGUUGUGUUAAUAAUUUUUUCUAGUUUUGUUUCAAGAGAAAUGUUGCUGGCAAGCUGUUAAAAUCUAUCAAAAUUUGACUACAUCUCUCCCUUACACACAUGCACAUAUUCCCUCACUUUUUUCUGUGGGUGUUAGUCAUCUGACGGUGACCCAGUGGGAGUUUUUUCUCCAUCUGUGUCGUUCUGACCCAUUUUAGCCCUCGGCCACGUCCAACUGUUCCGUUUCCCAAACAUAUGUGUGGUGGCAGGGGGAUAAGUGAACCGUCGCCGCGCAGGACCUGCAGACACACACUGCAGAUAUGACACUGGACACUGCUUUCCUGUCUAUCUGCUUCCUUCAGCAUAUGCUAGCAUCAGUACUAACCCCAAGGAUUCACACCUUAGUGAUUUGACCAAACACCACUACUACUGCUGCUUCUCCUUCUACUGCUCUGAGUCAAGGAUCUCUGCCUGUGUUAUAAAUUUGAUUAUCAGACGAAGUGAAUUUGUAAAGAUUUAUUCCUGUUAAUGCACUGUGUGUGUUUACUGUUGGACAAUAUGUGCUUGCCCUCUUUUGGCCUCCACUGAUUUUCAGUUCUCAUCAUGACUCUGCAUCUCAUUCAUUGCUUAACCUCUCUUAUUCAGUAUUCACUGUAUUUCUUGUGUUUCUACUGGCCAGGCCUUGAUUGGGCACUUUACUUGGUGGACAGCUACAGCAUCCGAUCAUAACAUAGUCAGUGAAGUCAAAAUAGGCCAACCAGAAGAGGGUUUUUCCAAGUGGUCCAUGUUGGCAGAUGAGAUGGUAUCACUGCACAGAGCCAGGACCCACUGGGGACUGUGGGGUGUGAGGCACAUAUGGGCAAACAGGCUGCUGAUGAGCUGCUUACAUGAGCCUCUCAUCAUGGCCUUAGAGAGAGAUGUCUCCACCAGAGGAUUUGAAGUGGCUAUGUACUGUGGGUCUACAUUGUUUGGGUUGGCACAGGAUCUUGGAUUCAAGCUACUUGUGCAGAGAUGCUCUCCCAUUAGAUUUUUAUAAAAUGUCACCCAAAUUCAUUGGGGACAAACACUGUAUAACAAUAAAGGUUAUAUGAAAACACC